UUUACAAGAAAAUCCCAUUCAAGACGACCUUGAUGAAUCCUGUGCAUAAGAGAUCAGCUCUGAUGUCAGACCUCAUAAGAGUCGGAAGCAUCACUGAAGGACAAGCGUUGCGGCGGGCCUCUCACUGCUAAAUUGCAUAAUGGACACCUCGGCUGGUCUGGGCCUUUGGGACGUAGGUCAUCUUACAGUGGCCAGAUGCCGCAUAAAUUAAAUCCAUGAGAGUUAGGAAUGACAUGAGGAUGGCAAUGGAGUUGAAAUGACAUCCAGGCCCGUGUUCUGUCCUCUGAGCAGGUAAAAUCCGCCACAGCUUUAGAGUUAGUCAGUGUGGACGGACGGCCAGUAUCCGUCUUGUCUACCACAGCACUCUGACACUUUGCUCUCUCACCACAUCACAGAAGAAAGUGGCUUUCAAAUCCACAAUCUCUGAGGUGUGCAAAGCCCUUAAUUCUUUACAUGUUUUAAAAUCGGCAGGUCCUGAUAAAUUGGAACCUUACUUUUUUAUUGCUAGCAGCUGAUUUUAUUGCUCCUCCUCUGAUUUAUAUUUUUAUCCUUUCUCUUGUCUUAAAUGGUAUUCCACUUAUAUGGAAAUCAGCUUUUGUUCUUCCCCUGUUUAAAGGCGUACUGUAUAUCCUACAAACCCUAAUAAUUAUUGUCCCGUUUCCAAGCAGUCUGUCCUGGCCAAAGUCCUUGAAAUAUUUGUCAACAAUCAAUUGAAGGACUUUUUUUCAGUUAAUAAUAUCCUGUCUGAUUUUUCAAUCUGGUUUACAACUACGGCAGCCUUAAAAGUUCAAAAUUAUUUUAUUGUAUCUGUUGAUAACAAGAAACAGUGUGCAGCCUUAUGCAUUGAUCUAUCCAAAGUGUUUGAUACUGUUGAUCAUACCUUACUGAUAGAAUGACUCGUCAGUAUUGGAUUAUCUAAACAUGCUAUUGGUUGGUUUAAUAAUCUCUCAAACAGAUCUCAAUGUGU